rnacentral:pre_miRNA from 1 species
CAAGUACUCCCUCCAUCCGAAAUUACUUGUCAUCAAAAUGGAUGUGUCUAGAACUAAAAUACAUCUAGAUACACCCAUUUCAAUGACAAGUAUUUUCGGACGGAGGGAGUACAAG